rnacentral:lncRNA from 1 species
GUAAUGUUUAAAAUAACAUUUUAAAUAAAAUUUUAUGACAGUUUCAAAAGAAGAAAAACCUAACAAAAUGAAUACUCUUUUCAACUUCAGAAUAAGCUCUCUUACCCACAGCUGCGUAGGGAUUAAGGUAUAUGUGACAAAAAUGAGGGGGAUCUUAGUUACUAUCCUGUUCCAUGGGAUAAAAAGGAGCAUUUAACUGUUUGGAUCCCACUGUUCUUCAAUAAAAAUCCAAUGCUUUCUUAAUAUUUAUCCCUUAUUCCUCUAACCCUACUAUACAUACUCUCUUUCGGAGUUGCAAGAAAACCAGCAAUUAUCACAUCAAAGGUUAUCAGUCCACCAGGGAAACUUCAAUCCUUAACUGGUGGAGAAUUGCUGCAGCUUUUGCAAACAUCUCAGAUCAGGCCAGCAAGUGUUUUCCCUCCUCCCUUCCCUCCUGUGACUCUUGUUGGUUUUAUUUAAUCAGCUUAGAAGACCUCCUUAGUUUUCCUGUGAUGCCAUAUACUAUCCUAGACAUCAAAAAGAUUUUUAUACUGCUGUUAUUUUUAUAGAGAAGGAAUAAAAGAAUAACAAUGAUUUAACCAUGCUGCACAAUAGGUCCAGUCUGAAAAGGUCUGAAGGAUUAAACCUUUCCUUAAAUUUCCUGAAAGCUCCAUUCAGAAGUUAUUGGCAACAUUCUUACUUCAAUAGUAUCAGAAGAAUCCAAGAAAGAAGUAAGCUGUUCUCAUGUUUAAUAUGGUGGGGUCACAUCUGGAAAGCCAGAGAACCAUACAAAGCUGAAAUUUUAGCCCUUCUCCCCAGCCCUCCUUACCAAGAGGUGAACUGAUAGUACUUUCCUGAAUGACAGACUCUUACCAUGCACUACACUGGGUAACCAUUUUGAUGAAGAUCCUGCUUUUGUACUCAUUUCAACGGCAGAACGGGAUAAGAGGGAGACAGAAGAACUGUUUCUUCUCCCAGGAACGGAAAGAUCUGCUGUUCUCCUGCUCUGUGCAGGCAAGAUUGAGAAGACUGGUACCACUGCUACAGCUUGACAUCACUCAAUGACCUUAAGUUACUUGCACACCCUGCUAAUGCAGGGCCUCCUAUGCCAUUAACUUCAUGUAAAUUUAGUGAUGUUCUUUUUUGUACUUUCAUUUUUCAGCACCUAUUCCUUGUUGUUCAAGGUUCAGUGUGGCUGGCCUAGCAAAGUAAGCUCAAGAAUUAACUAAGAACAUUUUUGUUUAGAAGUGGACUUUGUUAAAAAGUGGCCUAAAAUGUUAAACUACUGGUUUGUUCAAAUAGAUAAUGUGAGUGAACAUUUGCUCUUGACUUGAGAACACGAAUAUUCCCAGAACAAAAUACAGAGUGCUGAGGAAUUUUGCCUGAGGCUAUGGAAUAAAUGAAUGGAAUCAUCCUCUGAAAAAGUGACA